CCUACGGGAGGCAGCAGUGGGGAAUAUUGCACAAUGGGGGGAACCCUGAUGCAGCGACGCCGCGUGGGUGAAGGAGUAUUUCGGUAUGUAAAGCCCUAUCAGCAGGGAAGAACAAUGACGGUACCUGACUAAGAAGCACCGGCUAAAUACGUGCCAGCAGCCGCGGUAAUACGUAUGGUGCAAGCGUUAUCCGGAUUUAUUGGGUUUAAAGGGUGCGUAGGCGGAUUUUUAAGUCAGCGGUAAAAUGUCCGGGCUCAACCCGGGCCGGCCGUUGAAACUGGGGAUCUUGAGUGGGCGAGAAGUAUGCGGAAUGCGUGGUGUAGCGGUGAAAUGCAUAGAUAUCACGCAGAACUCCGAUUGCGAAGGCAGCAUACCGGCGCCCGACUGACGCUGAGGCACGAAAGCGUGGGGAUCGAACAGGAUUAGAUACCCGAGUAGUC
rnacentral:rRNA from 1 species